CAGGAUGAACGCUAGCGACAGGCCUAACACAUGCAAGUCAGGGGCAGCACAAGGAGCAAUCUGAGGUGGCGACCGGCGCACGGGUGAGUAACACGUAUGCAACCUGCCUGUAAGCGGGGAAUAACCCGUUGAAAGACGGACUAAUACCGCAUAAUACUAAAUUACUGCAUGGUAAUUUAUUUAAACAUUUAUGGCUUACAGAUGGGCAUGCGCAUGAUUAGCUAGUUGGAGAGGUAACGGCUCCCCAAGGCAACGAUCAUUAGGGGUUCUGAGAGGAAGGUCCCCCACACUGGUACUGAGACACGGACCAGACUCCUACGGGAGGCAGCAGUGAGGAAUAUUGGUCAAUGGACGAGAGUCUGAACCAGCCAAGUCGCGUGCAGGAAGAAUGUCCCUAUGGAUUGUAAACUGCUUUUGCAGGGGAAUAAAGUGCAUCACGUGUGAUGUUUUGUAUGUACUCUGCGAAUAAGGAUCGGCUAACUCCGUGCCAGCCGCUGC
rnacentral:rRNA from 1 species